rnacentral:rRNA from 1 species
GCGGCAACAGCUCAAAUUUGAAAUCUGGUCCCCUUUGGGGGCCCGAGUUGUAAUUUGAAGAGGAUGCUUUUGGCGAGGCGCCGUCCGAGUUCCCUGGAACGGGACGCCGCAGAGGGUGAGAGCCCCGUACGGUCGGACGCCGAGCCUCUGUAAAGCUCCUUCGACGAGUCGAGUAGUUUGGGAAUGCUGCUCAAAAUGGGAGGUAAACCCCUUCUAAAGCUAAAUACUGGCCAGAGACCGAUAGCGCACAAGUAGAGUGAUCGAAAGAUGAAAAGCACUUUGAAAAGAGAGUUAAAAAGCACGUGAAAUUGUUAAAAGGGAAGCGCUUGCGACCAGACUUGCGCCCGUCGGAUCAACCGUCGCUUGCGGCGGCGCACUCCGGCGGGCUCAGGCCAGCAUCAGUUCGUCCGGGGGGAGAAAGGCGGCGGGAA